UACGGGGGGGGGCAAGCGUUGUUCGGAAUUACUGGGCGUAAAGGGCUCGUAGGUGGCCAAUUAAGUCAGACGUGAAAUCCCCAGGCUCAACUUGGGAACUGCGUCUGAUACUGGUUGGCUUGAAUUCGGGAGAGGGAUGCAGAAUUCCAGGUGUAGCGGUGAAAUGCGUAGAUAUCUGGAGGAAUACCGGUGGCGAAGGCGGCAUCCUGGACCGAGAUUGACACUGAUGAGCGAAAGCCAGGGGAGCAAACGGG
rnacentral:rRNA from 1 species